rnacentral:rRNA from 1 species
GAUGAACGCUAGCGGCAGGCUUAAUACAUGCAAGUCGUGGGGCAGCAUGAGUAGCAAUACUUGAUGGCGACCGGCAAACGGGUGCGGAACACGUACACAACCUUCCGAUAAGUGGGGAAUAGCCCAGAGAAAUUUGGAUUAAUACCCCGUAACAUAUAGAGUAGGCAUCUUCUUUAUAUUAUAGCUUCGGCGCUUAUUGAUGGGUGUGCGUCUGAUUAGGUAGUUGGCGGGGUAACGGCCCACCAAGCCUACGAUCAGUAGCUGAUGUGAGGGCAUGAUCAGCCACACGGGAACUGAGACACGGGCCCGACUCCUACGGGAGGCAGCAGUAAGGAAUAUUGGACAAUGGGCGAAAGCCUGAUCCAGCCAUGCCGCGUGAAGGAUUAAGGUCCUCUGGAUUGUAAACUUCUUUUAUUUGGGACGAAAAAAGGGAAUUCUUUCCCACUUGACGGUACCAAGUGAAUAAGCACCGGCUAACUCCGUGCCAGCCGCCGCAGUAA